UACGUAGGUGGCAAGCGUUGUCCGGAUUUACUGGGCGUAAAGCGCGUGUAGGCGGCCCGUUUAGUCUGUCGUGAAAUCUCCCGGCUUAACCGGGAUGGGUCGACGGAUACUGGCGAGCUAGAGGGGAGCAGAGGAAGGUGGAAUUCCCGGUGUAGUGGUGAAAUGCGUAGAUAUCGGGAGGAACACCAGUGGCGAAGGCGGCCUUCUGGGCUCUACCUGACGCUGAGACGCGAAAGCGUGGGGAGCGAACCGG
rnacentral:rRNA from 1 species